rnacentral:rRNA from 1 species
UUUGUCUUUUAAUUGUGGACUGGAAUGAAAGGUUAGACUAAAUAUUUUUGUCUUAUGUUGAUAUAUUAAAAUUUAUAAUUUAGUAAAAAAGCUAAAAUUUUUCUUAAAGACGAGAAGACCCUAUCAAGCUUUACAAUUCUAUCUUAACAUCAAAUUAUGAAAAAAAUUGUUUAACUGGGGCAGUAAGCAAUAUAAAUUUUGUUUUAAAAUUAUGAAGUAUGUAUCUUGAAAAAUCAAUAAAUUAUUAAAUAAUAACAAGUUACUGUAGGGAUAACAGCAUAAUUUUUUUAAAGAGUUCUCAUCAUCAAAAAAUAUUGUGACCUCGAUGUUGGAUUAAGAGACCUUUUUUGCGCAAUAGCAGGAGAAGGAAGUCUGUUCGACUUUUAAUUUCUUCCA